rnacentral:rRNA from 1 species
UACGGAGGGGGCUAGCGUUGUUCGGAAUUACUGGGCGUAAAGGGCGCGUAGGCGGCCUGCUAAGUCGAACGUGAAAUCCCCGAGCUCAACUCGGGAACUGCGUCCGAUACUGACAGGCUUGAAUCCGGGAGAGGGAUGCGGAAUUCCAGGUGUAGCGGUGAAAUGCGUAGAUAUCUGGAGGAACACCGGUGGCGAAGGCGGCAUCCUGGACCGGCAUUGACGCUGAGGCGCGAAAGCUAGGGGAGCAAACGGG